GAUUCAGUCAAGGCUCCGUUUAGAAGCAACAACCCAAUUUGUCACUCACCCAUUCCUCAUUCCCUCAGUGACCAGUGAGUUUGUUCAUAAGGCAGGUCUGGGUGUUGGGCAGAAUGAGCCUCUGCUUACUGGCCUAAUCCAGAGGGCUUUCCUAUGAUGUGUUGUUUUCUAUUACCAGCACCUCCGCUUCAUGCCAUACUCUUGGCUAAUUGAAGCUGCUGAAGGCAAGAGGAUUCCACUAAUGGACUCGGCUCUCCCUCAGGGGUCAGACGCCAAGACAAUGUCACAGCGGUGGAAGGAAGAGCCCAGAUGGCCCGGCUCAGGUGGUGAAGGCCUUUAGAAUCUGCCUUGAGGCUCUCAGUGGCUUUAGAUCGAAAACCAUCUUGGCCCCUUCCAGCAGCGUAAGGCAUUUUAUGACAGCCUGAAAGCACAGAGCUUAAACAGAAUGAUGAUCACAGGGCAGGAAUUUGGACUCCAGGAGAACUGCCUAAGCACAGAUUAUUUUUCUCCGGUAUUUGAUGAGAACAAACGAAGUAAGAAUUUUCCUUUUGUUCGUCUGGCCUCUGGCAUUGUUUACUUUCUUUUUAUUAUUCUCGAAGGCACUUAGAGCUCUGGCAGCGUUUCUGUCCUAAAAUCUUAUUGUCAGAGGUUUAUUUUUCAGCUGUUUCAAAUCAUAUCUGAUAGAGUGAGUGCUUUGCCUGGGUUCAUCGCUUUACCUCAAAAGAAAUAAAGUUCACCCUUUAAAUGACAAUAUUGAUUGUCUACAGCUUUAAGUUUUCUACACUUAAGCUGCAGGCUUCAUUUCAAAACCUGUUUUCCCUCAUCACAGAGGAACGAUGGUGGAAGUCUCACUCUGCUGGAGUCUGGGACGUGCGUCGGAGAGUCUGGACUUCACGUGCUGCUCUUCCAAAACAAGGACAGGAUAUCAACCCAGAAAAAUGAGCCCUUCAGACCUGCGAUGAUCUGUGAAAAGCUCAGAUGGACUUAGCAGGCAUUUUCUUGACACCUGGGAAAAGUCAGCAUGUGAGAGAGGGAGUAGCAUUAUGGUUACGAGGCUACGUUCUAGAGCUGGGCUGCCUGGUUGAAUGCCAGCUACUCAGCUGUAGUGGGUUAAACGGUGCCCCCUGC
ensembl:lncRNA